rnacentral:rRNA from 1 species
UGGGGAAUUUUGGACAAUGGGGGAAACCCUGAUCCAGCCAUCCCGCGUGUGCGAUGAAGGCCUUCGGGUUGUAAAGCACUUUUGGCAGGAAAGAAACGUCAUGGGUUAAUACCCCGUGAAACUGACGGUACCUGCAGAAUAAGCACCGGCUAACUACGUGCCAGCAGCCGCGGUAAUACGUAGGGUGCAAGCGUUAAUCGGAAUUACUGGGCGUAAAGCGUGCGCAGGCGGUUCGGAAAGAAAGAUGUGAAAUCCCAGAGCUCAACUUUGGAACUGCAUUUUUAACUACCGGGCUAGAGUGUGUCAGAGGGAGGUGGAAUUCCGCGUGUAGCAGUGAAAUGCGUAGAUAUGCGGAGGAACACCGAUGGCGAAGGCAGCCUCCUGGGAUAACACUGACGCUCAUGCACGAAAGCGUGGGGAGCCAACAGG